GUAGGUGGCAAGCGUUGUCCGGAAUUAUUGGGCGUAAAGCGCGCGCAGGCGGUUCUUUAAGUCUGAUGUGAAAGCCCACGGCUCAACCGUGGAGGGUCAUUGGAAACUGGAGAACUUGAGUACAGAAGAGGAAGCGGAAUUCCACGUGUAGCGGUGAAAUGCGUAGAGAUGUGGAGGAACACCAGUGGCGGAGGCGGCUUUCUGGUCUGUAACUGACGCUGAGGCGCGAAAGCGUGGGGAGCAAACAGGAUUAGAUACCCUGGUAGUCCACGCCGUAAACGAUGAGUGCUAAGUGUUAGGGGGUUUCCGCCCCCCUUAGUGCUGCAGCUAACGCAUUAAGCACUCCGCCUGGGAGUACGGCCGCAAGGCUG
rnacentral:rRNA from 1 species